rnacentral:lncRNA from 1 species
UUGAUUUUAACUUAUGCUAUGUGUUUGCAUUUUGUGGUUAGUUGAGGCAUGAAUAUAUCGAAAAUAUUGAUUAGGCUAUAUAUAUAUUUGGUCUUGUAUUGAGCCUAUUAUGAGAGUGUAACCAAAAUACAUGAUGUUUGUGAUGAUGUUAUGUAUUCGGCCGUAUGGUUCAUUUUGGAAGUUAGUUAAGGUAAAUUAUGAAAUCAUUAGGCAAAGAGCAA